rnacentral:rRNA from 1 species
UCGUCUUUUGGUCUCAUUGGAUAUUAUGACUCUGACUAUGCCGGUGAUCGAGUGGAUCGCAAGUCAACAUCAGGCACAUGCCAUUUCCUCGGACGAUCCUUGGUAUGUUGGUCCUCGAAGAAGCAGAACUGUGUAUCACUCUCUACCACUGAAGCUGAGUACAUUGCUGCUGGUUCUUGCUGUGCUCAAUUGCUAUGGAUGAAGCAAACCCUUAAGGACUACGACAUCAACAUGAAUAAUUUGCCACUCUACUGCGACAACGAAAGUGCCAUCAAGAUUGCUCAUAACCCAGUUCAGCACUCGAGGACUAAGCACAUCCAGAUUCGUCAUCAUUUUCUUUGA